ensembl:lncRNA
CCAAUACAACCUCAUGCGUAACACACAGUAUGCACACAUUAUGUAAAGAAAAACUUUUAUUUUAGAUGCAAUUAAUCGCGAGUAAUUGUUUGACAGCACUAAUAUACUGUAUAUAUACUGCAAUUUGCAACUGCAUAGCAACUAAACACAUUAUGUAGUGUUGAGUUUGCAUGUGCAAGCCCUUUUUUUUCAGGUAAUUUUAAAUCACAUUGAAUACGUUUUUGCAUCUACUUUUAUGAAUUUAAUUGCAUGAAUUAAUUUAGUUUAUGAAUUAUGAAUUGUCUUUCUCUCCUGAAAGACUUUCUGUCUUUCUCUCCUCCUACAUGGAGUAAUAAAGGAACACUUAAGGUCCCAUUUGUUAACCAACAUUAACCAAUGAGCAUUGCAUUUGUUAUAGUAUUUAUUCAUCUUUGUUCAUUUUAGUUCAUGUUAGCGAAGGUCCAUUAAAUGUUAACAGAUACAAAUUUUCAAUUGUAUUAAUAUAUUAGUCAGUGCUGAAAUUAACAUUAGGAUUUAUACAAGUAUUUUUCAUUUUUAGGUUAUGUUGCCGAAUGUAGUUAACUAAUGUCAACAUAUGGAACCUUACUGAAAAUUGCACUUAAAACAGGAUCAAUAUGUUCUCCAGCCUCAUGUGAAUGGCACAUUUACUCAACACUCAACCUCAGACUCUUAAAGGACAAGUUAGGCAAGCUUUGAUGCUUUAUCAGGAUUCACUUUGUUUGAUGUGACCUGUUUCAAAAUGAGCAAGUGUUGAAACCUCUGCGUUCAGUUCUUCAUGUUAACCCUUUCUAGUGUACACUGGUAUUCAGAGCUCGCGUGUCAUGCUUCCACUCGAAAUAGUUUUGUUUCCACCUUCAAAGACAGGGACUUCACAUGUCUGUCGCACACUAAGUGAUACCCACAUCAGCUUUGUCUGAUUAUUUGGAUUGUCCAAUGACAUCAUUUUUAUACAAAAUUGGAUUUAAUUUAUUUUUACAUUAAUGCAUCAAAAUAAGUUUAGCAAUUUCAACUUUUUUAUAUUAUACUUAAGGCAGCGUCUGAAUUUAAGAUUCUAAGCUGAAUUGUUGUUUAUUAUUUUAAGUAGUUAAAUUUGUUUAAUUUUACAUUUUUAUGAUCUUUUCGUGGUAUAAUGUCAUGUUUAAUACACUUUAUGAUAUUGAUAAAGAACAACAUAUAUUUUCUUACUAGUUAGGGCAAUAGUAAUCUAAAAAUAAUCAAAAGUCUGAAUACAUUUGCUAAUAUGUGUAAUCCAACAGAUUACUUUACGAACUACUAUUUUCAUAAUGAAUUAUCAGUAAUGAACUACAAGUGAUCUGCCCAGCACUGGUCUUAAAUCAGUGUGAACAGAACAAGGUUUGAACAAAAUAUGUUUUAAAAGAGAAUGGCUAAUUAUAAUUUUUACACAUAAUUUUGUGUGAUUUUUUUUUUUUUUAACAAUAAAAUAAAUUCCAAAAUUCAUUAAUUCAACUGAAAUGCAUAAGCUGAAAUAAAACAAUUACACCAAGUAAAUUAAAGCUAAAUAGAAAUGUAAAAAAGCAUAUUAAUUAAAUAAGUAAAUGAUGAAAGUGGAUAGCAAUGACUAAAGCCUAAACUAAAAUAAAAAAAAAAUAAAAAAAUUCAAAAUAAUAAACAGUGUUGGGGUAAUGCAGUACAAGUAAAGCGAGUUACGUAAUCAGAUUACUUUUUUCAAGUAACUAGUAAAGUAACGCAUUACUUUUUAAAUUUACAACAAAAAUAUCUAAGCUACUAACACAAGUUACUUUGUUUUCCCAUUUAUUCACUGACAGCAGCAAUCAGGAGUGAGGUGAAGAGGCACUUCCUUCAGACUGAGGCUUGUUCAUUUCACUUUUGCACCCUGGCGCCAUUAUGGAGAGUAUCACGAUGCAUGCCUUGAACAUCGGAGUACCCUUGCUCUCUAUGGAGGGUCAGAAAGCUCUCGGAUUUCGUCAAAAAUAUCUUAAUUUGUGUUUCAAAGAUGAACAAAGGUCUUACGGGUUUGGAACGACAUGAGGGGUGGGCUUGAAUGAAAAAAGACUGUCCUCCGCUGAAGUUGUCUUAAGUUGAACUGGUUCUGGGAAGCCUCUGUCUCAGGUGUACGUGGAGCUGAAAAACAGCUUGUGUUCUUGUGAGGGCAGGGAGAGCGUGGAUCACGACACGCUUCUCUCUCAGUCAUCUCCAUUGACAGCGGUUGCUAUGCACAGGACGAGACUGAGAGAUGGUCAUGCGCUUCAGCUGGUACACAUGAAUGAACAUGUCCAUUAUGACCCUGCUGUUACAUACACUCUCAGCCAAUCAUGCAGAUCUUAAAACAGAGUGUACAACCGAAUAUAGCUGCACAUAAACAGCAAUCUAAUGAACAUUCAAAGAGUUCCUUCUCCCCUCACAUCAAAAAAAAAAAAUAAAAAAAAUAAUACAAUAAUAAAAUUCAAAGAUGUAACCGUUAAUAUUAAUUAAUCGACCUGACAAUUUAAUUAAUGUUAACAAAGAUUAAUUCAUAUCGCUCAUUGUUGGUUAAUGCAUUAAUUAACAUUUACUAAUAGACCUCAUUGUAAAGUGUUUCCCAUUUUGCUUGAAGAAACUGAAGCCUAUUUUUAGCACUAUUAAUGAAACUCUUAAACUCUCAUUAUUGAUUCUCAUUACUGUAGCCCAAUAAAAACAAACAAACAGUAUAUUAAUUGAAUUUGAUAGCAUUUAUACGUAAUCGUAUUUGUUUUACAACUUUCAAUUUUUUCUGAAUUAACACAUUUUUUAAUCGUGGUAUUUUUACUGUAAUACAAUAAAAGAUUAUAUUAGAGAAUCUGCGGUAAUCAUAACUUAGAUUUAUGAAAAUUAUAAAUAAAUGAAUAAGACAUCAAAAGACAAUAUCUUAAUGGUCUUAGGCCUCCUUUUUUGUUUAUACUAAAUAAACACAUAUUGAUUUAUUUUUGGUGAAACACUCAGAAAGACUUCACUGAUUUGUUGUUACCAUCGUGUGAGACUUUAGGCGGUUAUUCAGGACAUGUUCUUAUUGAAUAAUACGAUAUCUUUGACAUAAUAAAUGGGUUUUAAUUUAAUGUUUUAGUGCUAGUGGAAAUUUUGGAGAUACAUUUUUUUUUUUUUUACAAGUUGAUUUAUUUCUAAAACUCUUUCACCCAAAACACAUUUUAAUUGAGCUGUUUAAAGAGAACAGAUGAUUGUCUUGUACAGUCUGCAGUGAUAGGUCUUUGCUUGCCUCAUGAGUUACAUAAUCACGCUGAAAUGCCUCACUUUUACAAGUUUGAGCUGAAUUGAAGAGUUGACCUGCUGUAGGGUUCCUGCGGAGAAACAACAUCUGCACUCGAGUACUUACACGUUCAUGUUACCUCUGUCUGUCAGAGCAGGGCAUCAGUUCAUUUUAUCCAUUACCUUUGUCAACUAACACAGACAAACAAACCUUUCAGAAAUACAACAAUCUCUCUGCUCCCACUCUCAGACCGAACAAAACGAGUUGGGAUUGAUCUGUGUAAAUCAUUUAUCAUUGAUCCAGGGUUUCUCUGCGUCUUGUUGAGUCCCAGAUGGAUUCAGCUGACAAUACUGAUUGUGUUGAAGAAUGAGUCCCUUCUGCCGACCACUGAUUUAAGUUUAUUUUCUGUUCCCUUACGCAAUGAAAGUGUGUG